CCUACGGGAGGCAGCAGUGGGGAAUAUUGGGCAAUGGGCGCAAGCCUGACCCAGCAACGCCGCGUGAAGGAAGAAGGCUCUCGGGUUGUAAACUUCUUUUGUCAGGGAAGAGUAGAAGACGGUACCUGACGAAUAAGCCACGGCUAACUACGUGCCCGCCGCCGCGGUAAUACGUAGGUGGCACGCGUAGUCCGGAUUUACUGGGUGUAAAGGGCGUGUAGCCGGGUUGACAAGUCAGAUGCGAAAUCCUGCGGCUUAACCGCAGAACUGCAUUUGAAACUGUUGAUCUUGAGUACUGGAGAGGCAGACGGAAUGCCUGGUGUAGCGGUGAAAUGCGUAGAUAUUAGGAGGAACACCAGUGGCGAAGGCGGUCUGCUGGACAGCAACUGACGGUGAGGCGCGAAAGCGUGGGGAGCAAACAGGAUUAGAUACCCGAGUAGUC
rnacentral:rRNA from 1 species